CUGAGGCGGCAACUUUUAGCCCUGCCCACCGCUUCUUACCGUCUCUUCCCGCUGAGGGGACCCUGUUCCCGGGGAAAAAAACUCCAGGUUCAGAGCUGUUCAGUGACUUGUCCAAAGGCAUAUGCAAAUGCAGUGGCAACAUCAAGCCUGUGAUCAACCUCAGCCCAGAGCAGGAGCCCAGUUGGCUCCCACCACCAUGUUUCUCCCAGCUCAGGCUCCCUGUUGGUGUGGUUUCAGCUCAGACUCAAAGAAUUUCCUUUCAAAAAUGGUAGGAAUGGAUCAUGGCUACAGUGUGGCUGUAGGAGGAACUCCGUGCCUGUUUGCAGCAGCCGGUUUAGAGCCUUUGCUGCAUCAAGCACAGAGGAGACAACAGGAACAGCAAACGAUUGUAGUGCUCUAGAAAAACCACACUUUUAUCUAGAACUCCCUUUGGCUUACCGAGAAUCCACGUAGUGACCUGAAGUCUUCCACCAUGAGGCUGUGCUUACAAGCUCUGACAAAAGAACCUUCUCCUACAGAGCACCUCUAAGAUGACAGAUGCACUUAAGAGUAAAGAGUAUUGGAACAGAGGUGUCUAUGGCAAAGUACCUUCAUUCAGGUUCGUAUGAAACACAGCAUUAUCAACCAAUGAACACUGCAAAACAGUCAGAAGAAUAGGCUCCAGUUCCAUCCAAAGAGAAAACUCCUAAGUAACAGCAGAUAAAGGUAGGCAGACCAUUUACAUCACUAUCAAUGUGGUAUCUGUUUUGCAAUGUUUGGUAGGUAGUUUCCAAGUUGUAAGAAUUUGCAAUACAAAGCCUCAGCCUAGCAAGUUUCUUUUAAUUUUUAAAUGUACAGCAUUUUAGUUCUACAAAUGUAAAAAA